rnacentral:rRNA from 1 species
AUUGAACGCUGGCGGCAUGCCUAACACAUGCAAGUCGAGCGAGUGGCGGACGGGUGAGUAAUGUCUGGGAACCUGCCUGAUGGAGGGGGAUAACUACUGGAAACGGUAGCUAAUACCGCAUACCAUCAGAUGUGCCCCGAUGGGAUUAGCUCGUAGGUGGGGUAAAGGCUCACCUAGGCGACGAUCCCUAGCUGGUCUGAGAGGAUGACCAGCCACACUGGAACUGAGACACGGUCCAGACGCCUACGGGAGGCAGCAUUGGGGAAGGUUGCACAAUGGGCGCAAGCCUGAUGCAGCCAUGCCGCGUGUAUGAAGAAGGCCUUCGGGUUGUAAAGUACUUUCAGCGGGGAGGCGGUACCCGCAGAAGAAGCACCGGCUAACUCCGUGCCAGCAGCCGCGGUAAUAC